UGAAUUAAAGCUUUUGAGAAGUUUUUUAGUUACAUUAAAAAGAUUAAAUUUUAUUUAUGAUUCAA
rnacentral:tRNA from 1 species